rnacentral:rRNA from 1 species
UACGGGGGGGGUAAGCGUUGUUCGGAAUUACUGGGCGUAAAGGGCUCGUAGGCGGCCAACUAAGUCGGACGUGAAAUCCCUCAGCUUAACUGGGGAACUGCGUCCGAUACUGGAUGGCUUGGAUUUGGGAGAGGGAUGCGGAAUUCCUGGUGUAGCGGUGAAAUGCGCAGAUAUCAGGAGGAACACCAAUGGCGAAGGCAGCUCGCUGGGACGUGACUGACGCUGAGACGCGAAAGCGUGGGGAGCAAACAGG